GACGAACGCUGGCGGCGUGCUUAACACAUGCAAGUCGAACGGAAAGGCCCUGCUUUUGUGGGGUGCUCGAGUGGCGAACGGGUGAGUAACACGUGAGUAACCUGCCCUUGACUUUGGGAUAACUUCAGGAAACUGGGGCUAAUACCGGAUAGGAGCUCCUGCUGCAUGGUGGGGGUUGGAAAGUUUCGGCGGUUGGGGAUGGACGCGCGGCUUAUCAGCUUGUUGGUGGGGUAGUGGCUUACCAAGGCUUUGACGGGUAGCCGGCCUGAGAGGGUGACCGGCCACAUUGGGACUGAGAUACGGCCCAGACUCCUACUGGAGGCAGCAGUGGGGAAUAUUGCACAAUGGGCGGAAGCCUGAUGCAGCAACGCCGCGUGCGGGAUGACGGCCUUCGGGUUGUAAACCGCUUUCGCCUGUGACGAAGCGUGAGUGACGGUAAUGGGUAAAGAAGCACCGGCUAACUACGUG
rnacentral:rRNA from 1 species